rnacentral:rRNA from 1 species
AUUACCAUGCAGUCGAACGGCAGCGCGGGGCAACCUGGCGGCGAGUGGCGAACGGGUGAGUAAUACAUCGGAACGUGCCCUGUGAUGGGGGAUAACUACGCGAAAGCGUAGCUAAUACCGCAUACGACCCAAGGGUGAAAGUGGGGGAUCGCAAGACCUCACGUCAUAGGAGCGGCCGAUGGCGGAUUAGCUAGUUGGUGAGGUAAAGGCUUACCAAGGCGACGAUCCGUAGCUGGUCUGAGAGGACGACCAGCCACACUGGGACUGAGACACGGCCCAGACUCCUACGGGAGGCAGCAGUGGGGAAUCUUGGACAAUGGGGGCAACCCUGAUCCAGCAAUGCCGCGUGUGGGAUGAAGGCCUUCGGGUUGUAAACCACUUUUGGCGGGGGCGAAAUGUCGAGUGCUAAUACCAUUCGGUGAUGACGGUACCCGCAGAAUAAGCACCGGCUAACUACGUGCCAGCAGCCGGGGUAAU